rnacentral:rRNA from 1 species
AUGAACGCUAGCUACAGGCUUAACACAUGCAAGUCGAGGGGCAGCAUGGUCUUAGCUUGCUAAGGCCGAUGGCGACCGGCGCACGGGUGAGUAACACGUAUCCAACCUGCCGUCUACUCUUGGACAGCCUUCUGAAAGGAAGAUUAAUACAAGAUGGCAUCAUGAGUCCACAUGUUCACAUGAUUAAAGGUAUUCCGGUAGACGAUGGGGAUGCGUUCCAUUAGAUAGUAGGCGGGGUAACGGCCCACCUAGUCUUCGAUGGAUAGGGGUUCUGAGAGGAAGGUCCCCCACAUUGGAACUGAGACACGGUCCAAACUCCUACGGGAGGCAGCAGUGAGGAAUAUUGGUCAAUGGGCGAGAGCCUGAACCAGCCAAGUAGCGUGAAGGAUGACUGCCCUAUGGGUUGUAAACUUCUUUUAUAAAGGAAUAAAGUCGGGUAUGGAUACCCGUUUGCAUGUACUUUAUGAAUAAGGAUCGGCUAACUCCGUGCCAGCAGCCGCGGUAAUACGGAGGAUCCGAGCGUUAUCCGGAUUUAUUGGGUUUAAAGGGAGCGUAGAUGGAUGUUUAAGUCAGUUGUGAAAGUUUGCGGCUCAACCGUAAAAUUGCAGUUGAUACUGGAUAUCUUGAGUGCAGUUGAGGCAGGCGGAAUUCGUGGUGUAGCGGUGAAAUGCUUAGAUAUCACGAAGAACUCCGAUUGCGAAGGCAGCCUGCUAAGCUGCAACUGACAUUGAGGCUCGAAAGUGUGGGUAUCAAACAGGAUUAGAUACCCUGGUAGUCCACACGGUAAACGAUGAAUACUCGCUGUUUGCGAUAUACAGCAAGCGGCCAAGCGAAAGCGUUAAGUAUUCCACCUGGGGAGUACGCCGGCAACGGUGAAACUCAAAGGAAUUGACGGGGGCCCGCACAAGCGGAGGAACAUGUGGUUUAAUUCGAUGAUACGCGAGGAACCUUACCCGGGCUUAAAUUGCAGAUGAAUUACGGUGAAAGCCGUAAGCCGCAAGGCAUCUGUGAAGGUGCUGCAUGGUUGUCGUCAGCUCGUGCCGUGAGGUGUCGGCUUAAGUGCCAUAACGAGCGCAACCCUUGUUGUCAGUUACUAACAGGUUCCGCUGAGGACUCUGACAAGACUGCCAUCGUAAGAUGUGAGGGAGGUGGGGAUGACGUCAAAUCAGCACGGCCCUUACGUCCGGGGCUACACACGUGUUACAAUGGGGGGUACAGAGGGCCGCUACCACGCGAGUGGAUGCCAAUCCCAAAAACCUCUCUCAGUUCGGACUGGAGUCUGCAACCCGACUCCACGAAGCUGGAUUCGCUAGUAAUCGCGCAUCAGCCACGGCGCGGUGAAUACGUUCCCGGGCCUUGUACACACCGCCCGUCAAGCCAUGGGAGCCGGGGGUACCUGAAGUGCGUAACCGCGAGGAGCGCCCUAGGGUAAAACUGGUGACUGGGGCU